rnacentral:rRNA from 1 species
AUUGAACGCUGGCGGCAUGCCUUACACAUGCAAGUCGAACGGUAACGCGGGGCAACCUGGCGACGAGUGGCGAACGGGUGAGUAAUGUAUCGGAACGUGCCCAGUUGUGGGGGAUAACUGCUCGAAAGAGCAGCUAAUACCGCAUACGACCUGAGGGUGAAAGCGGGGGAUCGCAAGACCUCGCGCAAUUGGAGCGGCCGAUAUCAGAUUAGGUAGUUGGUGAGGUAAAGGCUCACCAAGCCGACGAUCUGUAGCUGGUCUGAGAGGACGACCAGCCACACUGGGACUGAGACACGGCCCAGACUCCUACGGGAGGCAGCAGUGGGGAAUUUUGGACAAUGGACGCAAGUCUGAUCCAGCCAUGCCGCGUGCGGGAAGAAGGCCUUCGGGCUGUAAACCGCUUUUGUCAGGGAAGAAACGCUCUGGGUUAAUACCUCGGGGUAAUGACGGUACCUGAAGAAUAAGCACCGGCUAACUACGUGCCAGCCGCCGCGGUAA